rnacentral:rRNA from 1 species
AAUCAACGCUGGCGGCGUGCCUCAGACAUGCAAGUCGAACGCUGCUGUUCGCCUUCGGGUGGACAGCGGAGUGGCGCACGGGUGAGUAACACGUAGGUAAUCUACCUUUGGGUGGGGAAUAACAGCCGGAAACGGCUGCUAAUACCGCAUAAUGCAGCGGCAUCACAUGAUGACAGUUGUUAAAGCGAGGGAUCGUAAGACCUCGCGCCUGAAGAGGAGCCUGCGGCAGAUUAGGUAGUUGGUGAGGUAAUGGCUCACCAAGCCUGCGAUCUGUAACCGGCCUGAGAGGGCGGUCGGUCACACUGACACUGACAUACGGGUCAGACUCCUACGGGAGGCAGCAGUC